UUUAGUCAUUUUUCCAGUUUUCUCCCUAAGUAGGGCUAUUUCUCUGCAAUAGAUGGGCAUUGUUUCUCUCUUCUUUAUGUCCUCUUUUACCCGAAAUGCAGGAGUAUUGCUCUGUGAGCCUGGAAACCUCUCUGGUCUGUGCUUGACUCCAGGCCAUGGCACUGGCAGAGUUGAUGGAGCUUCUCAGCUGGAUCCUGGUUAUGAGCCUUGGGCUGUCCCAGAGGUGACUGAGGAAGAAGGAGAUCACAACAUGCCAUGGAAGCUCCUCCCCUGUGUUUGACUCCCUGUUUGGUUCCUGCAGUCCAUGGUGAUCAAGCCUCUUGGUGUAAUCCUGUUCCUGAGCCUGGGGGCAAUCCCAGGGGUGGAGGAUGGGCAAGCGGCUGGGGCUACAGAAGAGAAAGGGAGGACAGAAACACAGAGACAGAGUUGCCUGAACUCCACAACUUGCCUGGCAGUGCAGAGAGCGGGAACUGUG